rnacentral:rRNA from 1 species
CGAAUGCUGACAUAAGUAACGAUAAAGCGGGUGAAAAGCCCGCUCGCCGGAAGACCAAGGGUUCCUGUCCAACGUUAAUCGGGGCAGGGUGAGUCGACCCCUAAGGCGAGGCCGAAAGGCGUAGUCGAUGGGAAACAGGUUAAUAUUCCUGUACUUGGUGUUACUGCGAAGGGGGGACGGAGAAGGCUAUGUUGGCCGGGCGACGGUUGUCCCGGUUUAAGCGUGUAGGCUGGUUUUCCAGGCAAAUCCGGAAAAUCAAGGCUGAGGCGUGAUGACGAGGCACUACGGUGCUGAAGCAACAAAUGCCCUGCUUCCAGGAAAAGCCUCUAAGCAUCAGGUAACAUCAAAUCGUACCCCAAACCGACACAGGUGGUCAGGUAGAGAAUACCAAGGCGCUUGAGAGAACUCGGGUGAAGGAACUAGGCAAAAUGGUGCCGUAACUUCGGGAGAAGGCACGCUGAUAUGUAGGUGAAGUCCCUCGCGGAUGGAGCUGAAAUCAGUCGAAGAUACCAGCUGGCUGCAACUGUUUAUUAAAAACACAGCACUGUGCAAACACGAAAGUGGACGUAUACGGUGUGACGCCUGCCCGGUGCCGGAAGGUUAAUUGAUGGGGUCAGCGCAAGCGAAGCUCUUGAUCGAAGCCCCGGUAAACGGCGGCCGUAACUAUAACGGUCCUAAGGUAGCGAAAUUCCUUGUCGGGUAAGUUCCGACCUGCACGAAUGGCGUAAUGAUGGCCAGGCUGUCUCCACCCGAGACUCAGUGAAAUUGAACUCGCUGUGAAGAUGCAGUGUACCCGCGGCAAGACGGAAAGACCCCGUGAACCUUUACUAUAGCUUGACACUGAACAUUGAGCCUUGAUGUGUAGGAUAGGUGGGAGGCUUUGAAGUGUGGACGCCAGUCUGCAUGGAGCCGACCUUGAAAUACCACCCUUUAAUGUUUGAUGUUCUAACGUGGACCCGUGAUCCGGGUUGCGGACAGUGUCUGGUGGGUAGUUUGACUGGGGCGGUCUCCUCCUAAAGAGUAACGGAGGAGCACGAAGGUUGGCUAAUCCUGGUCGGACAUCAGGAGGUUAGUGCAAUGGCAUAAGCCAGCUUGACUGCGAGCGUGACGGCGCGAGCAGGUGCGAAAGCAGGUCAUAGUGAUCCGGUGGUUCUGAAUGGAAGGGCCAUCGCUCAACGGAUAAAAGGUACUCCGGGGAUAACAGGCUGAUACCGCCCAAGAGUUCAUAUCGACGGCGGUGUUUGGCACCUCGAUGUCGGCUCAUCACAUCCUGGGGCUGAAGUAGGUCCCAAGGGUAUGGCUGUUCGCCAUUUAAAGUGGUACGCGAGCUGGGUUUAGAACGUCGUGAGACAGUUCGGUCCCUAUCUGCCGUGGGCGCUGGAGAACUGAGGGGGGCUGCUCCUAGUACGAGAGGACCGGAGUGGACGCAUCACUGGUGUUCGGGUUGUCAUGCCAAUGGCACUGCCCGGUAGCUAAAUGCGGAAGAGAUAAGUGCUGAAAGCAUCUAAGCACGAAACUUGCCCCGAGAUGAGUUCUCCCUGACCCUUUAAGG